rnacentral:rRNA from 1 species
AUACGGAGGGUCCAAGCGUUAUCCGGAUUUAUUGGGUUUAAAGGGUCCGUAGGCGGGAAAAUAAGUCAGUGGUGAAAGCCUGCAGCUCAACUGCAGAACUGCCAUUGAAACUGUUUUUCUUGAGUAUAGAUGAAGUGGGCGGAAUGUAUCAUGUAGCGGUGAAAUGCAUAGAUAUGAUACAGAACACCGAUUGCGAAGGCAGCUCACUAAACUAUUACUGACGCUGAGGGACGAAAGCGUGGGGAGCGAACAGGAUUAGAAACCCUAGUAGUCC